rnacentral:rRNA from 1 species
GACGAACGCUGGCGGCGUGCUUAACACAUGCAAGUCGAACGAAGUGGCGAACUGGUGAGUAACGCGUAAUCAACCUGCUCUUCAGAGGGGGACAACAGUUGGAAACGACUGCUAAUACCGCAUACUGAAGGAGGGGAUUGCGUCUGAUUAGCUAGUUGGAGGGGUAACGGCCCACCAAGGCGAUGAUCAGUAGGCGGUCUGGGAGGGUGAACGGCCACAAUGGGACUGAGACACGGCCCAGACUCCUACGGGAGGCAGCAGUGGGGAAUCUUCCGGAAUGGACGAAAGGUUGACGGAGCAACGCCGCGUGAGUGAUGACGGGCUUCGGGUUGUAAAGCUCUGUUAGUCGGGACGCGGUACCGGAAUAGAAAGCCACGGCUAACUACGUGCCAGCAGCCGCGGUAAUUC